UCCUCUCUGAAUUGUUUAUUCUAGUUAGGAUUUUGUCCAACCUUUUCUCAUGGUUCUUAGUUUCUUUGCAUUGGGUUGGAACAUGUUCCUUUAGCUCAGAGAAAUUUGUGAUUAUCCACCUUCU